rnacentral:rRNA from 1 species
UACGUAGGAGGCAAGCGUUGUCCGGAGUGACUGGGCGUAAAGCGCACGCAGGCGGUCCAAUCAGUCUGCAGGGACAGGGCACAGCUUAACUGUGUCAGGCCUGUGGAAACUGUUGGACUUGAGGGCUUCAGAGGGAUGGGGAAUUCCGGGUGGAGUGGUGAAAUGCGUAGAGAUCCGGAAGAACACCAAAGGCGUAGGCACCAUCCUGGGGAGUUACUGACGCUCGGGUGCGAAAGCUAGGGGAG